rnacentral:sRNA from 1 species
CUCUCUUUAUUUUUUUAUUAUACUAAAUAUAUAAUCCAAGAUCAAGAAAAUUACAAUUUAUUUUUCAUUCUGUAUUUUAUCUAGUGUCCUUGGAUUUUUAUUCCCUCAUGAACUAAACCUUGCUUCCCAAAUGUACUGGAAGAAAUUACCAUUCAGUAAUUUCAAUACCAGAGUUACUAAAGAGAAGGAAACGCUUUUGUGUCUGGAUAAUAAAUGCUGACCAUUUUGGUCUAAACGUUCAAUCAGAUGUGAAGUCUCUGAGAAGUGAUGCCUCAAGGUGAAGGUGCAUAAACUGUGCUCAUAAAUGAUGAGGUCAUAAGUCUAUCACCUACCCUUAUCGCUAGUUAUGCAGGCAUGGAGAUGUCAUUGACAACAGCUCUGGCUUGUCACUUUGUGGCAGGGAUUGAUUUCUGAAAACAUGACAGAAGAGACUAAUGGUUCAAGUGCAACUCAUUGGCUGCAAGGUUCCCCAGUAUGGGGCAUGUGCAAAUAGCAUAGGAUGAUAGACAAGAUCAGCAGCACCAAUGGGUUGGAGACAGCUCUAGCCCGAAUGUCCAACUGUAUAUGUGCUACAGAGGAAGAGCUAGAGAAGUUAUGGAGAUCUUUAACAGAUGCCAGAAAAAAGUAAGUGGAUCACAAUUAUUAAGAUAUUGAGUUAUUAAUAUGAUUGAAGUUUCAUUUUUGCUUUGUUCACAUUGUAGCUUGAUUAUUCUCUUGAAGUAAUAAAGUAGUUUAAAACUUUUAUUUUGAUUUUACAAGACCAUAUUUUCCAAAUGAGACUUUGGACUCUUACAAAAAAUGUGGAUUGUAAAAAGUUACUGGAUUCUUUAAGGUACUGCAUAUGUAAACUGUUUGAAACGGCAAGGCUGUGGGACUCUGCAAGUGCCAGGACAGACAUGUUUGAUAUUCAAUAUUUGGUAAAGUACUUGCCUAACUAACAGAUUUAAGCUUGAACUUCAUCACAAAAGCAGGUAGGAUUAUACACACAAGGAACAACACCACCCAGGAGAAAGAGGCAGAAAAAUAUGAAUCUCAAGACCAUCCUAUGGAUUUCUCUGGACAGUCUGAAUCCAUAUCAGAGGAAAGGUGAUAUAUGUUCUGUGCUGUUUUAUGCUAGAUAGAAGCAAAAGGAUUAUUAAAGUUUGAAGACAGCCCCGGCAUGAGACAUUAUCUCACAACUUUCAAAUAUAAAAAAAAAAGUAAUAAACAAAUGAAGAAAUUAAGUAAUGUGGAAGAAGGAGGAAGAGGAGAGUACUGUAAUAAGCAGAGGAAGUAUGAAUAAAUUUUCCAAUCCAUGAACACUAUUUAGAAGGGUGAAUAUUCACAGUUAGUCACCAACUGAAACGUCUUCAAGUGCAAUGAGUACUCUCCACGGAAACUAAGAUCCUAUUGCAUCGAUGUGAGCCAGUCAGUAGACCUUUGACAGAAAAAUUGGAAGGCUCACCUGUGAUACUGAUCUUGAAGAUGAAAGAUCCAAGUUUCUGGCCUAGUUCUUGGCAUGGAGAUCUGGAAGCAUAGUAAGACAAGGAGAUCUCGCUGUUCAACGUCAUCUGGGACAAAGCAAGUCUCAGAUCAAGGAAGUAUGAAUAAAUUUUCCAAUCCAUGAACACUGUCGAGAAGGAGUGAAUGCUCCAGUUAGUCAUCAACUUUAAUUCUUCAUGUUCAAUGAGAUAGGAAGUAUGAAUAAAUUUUCCAAUCCAUGAACACUGUCGAGAAGGAGUGAAUGCUCCAGUUAGUCAUCAACUUUAAUUCUUCAUGUUCAAUGAGAUAGGAAGUAUGAAUAAAUUUUCCAAUCCAUGNACACUAUCUACAAGGGUGAAUAUUCCAGUUAGUCACCAACUGAAACAUCUUCAUGUUCAAUGAGAUAGGAUUUACAGAGUCAUCUCCAAGAUAAAACCUAUACUAGUUGGGACAUCUAACGUAUGCUCUUCUUCAGAGUCGUUGAAAGAAUGAUGCAGUACCCUGUUUUCUGCCACAUCAGGAUAUACACAAGUCAUCACAAUUGUUAAAGAUCAAUGAGAAUCCUCUGAGGCUGCCUGACUGAAAUAAUGGAUGUUGCACUCCAAUUUAUAUAACUAAUAUGACUUUAUUAGUUGAAAUCUUGAAGCUGUGAAAGUGGCAACACACAGCCAGCAAGGAUUGGGGCAGUAUUUCUGGCAACAGUAAUUGAAGUACCCUCCAUGGAAACUAGGAUCCUAUCACAUCAAUGUGAGCCAGUCAGUAGACUUUUGACAGAAACCAAAGAGCAAAUGAAGGGCCAGUGGAUGGAAAAUGACUAAAUACUGAGGAAGGCUGGCUGAAGAAGGAUCAGUGUGAUAAGAUGCCAUCUUGAAAACAGGAGGAAUGAGAAACAUACUCAGAUAUGCAGAUAAGUGGUUUCUUGCUUAUAGAAAAAUAGUUCUUGCAAAACAAAAGGUAAAGCAACUCUAUCUAGUACUUUGCAAAAUAUGUCACAAAAUCGUCUUUAUGGAAGAACUGAUAUGGUCUAUCACCCAGUCCAAUAGUGAAAGACCAAUGAGAUGUGCCCAGAUCAAGUGAGGAAACCGAGGCAGUUGUAGAUAUUAUCUGAGGAUAAAUAUAUUACAGGAGAUAGAUUAUUACAUUGUCCAAAAAUGUUUCUUAUUAAAAUAGAGUUAUAUAUUAAAAUAUACAUAUAUGCUAAAUAGUAGAUUCUAUAUCCUGGAUGAAAUUUGAGUGAGGAACCUAACACUCUCAUUUUUAGGACAUUUAAGUGUUUUGUUGCUGUCGCUGUUCUCGUUUCUGCUGAAAAUAUUCUCCCUUAUACUUAGAGGGAUUCGUCUAUAGAAUUUCAAGAUGUUUUUCAAAAGCUCUAGUUGUAUUUACAGUGGCAUUCUAAUAGUUAAUAUUUUUUAAAUAAAAUCUUCCCUUUUUAAACACAUUUCCCCUUUCCAAUAAAGAACCAUAAUAGUUUUCAUGAAUUCUACCAUCAAAUAUGAACUUUGUCUAAAUUGAUUUUUACACUACUUCUCAACAUCAUCAUAACAAAAUAAAAGUGAAUGUCAUAUUCCUUGUAAAUUCCCUCUGCCUGGUAUUUCUGAUAUAGCUGUGGAGGUAUGUUCCCAGUCUUAAGAGCCAGGGGAAUUCUGGAGCCAGGGGAAAGAAUUAUACCCAAGAUCUCACAACAUGGGGUGAUAGAAAUUGUGUGAAAAUGACCUGCAAUUCAAUCAAACAUUUCUGUCUAAACAUUAUGUCAUUGUUUUUGCUUCCAGUAUUAUCUCUAGUAGCCAACUAUUGUAGGACAUAGUUAUUUGAACUAAAGACAUUUAAGGAAUCAUGGACUUUCUUUUACAUAGGUAGAAAUAUUACAUAUCUUUGAACUCUUGUAGUCAACCCUCAAACUGUAGACACAAUUGCUUAGUGUCUAAUAUCCUCUGAAGAUCGUAGUAGCUUUCAAACAUUUUGUAUUGCAGUUUAAGGAAGCCAAGUAUUAUUAUUUUGUAUUGUCCCUUUGCCCCAAAGGAUGUCUCAAUCUUCAGGGAAAUGAAAAUCAAAAGGACAUUGAGAUUCUGAAACCUCGCACCAGUCAGAAUGGCUUACAUCAAAAACUCAUGAGACAGAAGAUGUUGAUGAGAAUACAGAAUACUCAGAUAAUCACUCAGAAAUUUGGAGAUACAACCUGAAUAGCCAGCUAUACCAAUUCUGAGCACAUACCAAUAAGAUGAUCCAACAUAUAACGACAUCACAUGCUCCUUUACAUUCAUAGCACCCUUUUUUAUAAUAAGGAGAAGCUGGAAAAAACUCAGAUGCCAUUAAACAGAGGAAUGGAUACAGAAAUGUGGUACAUUUACACAAAAG